UACGUAGGGUGCGAGCGUUAAUCGGAAUUACUGGGCGUAAAGCGCGCGCAGGCGGUUUGUUAAGACAGAUGUGAAAUCCCCGGGCUUAACCUGGGAACUGCAUUUGUGACUGGCAAGCUAGAGUAUGGCAGAGGGGGGUAGAAUUCCACGUGUAGCAGUGAAAUGCGUAGAGAUGUGGAGGAAUACCGAUGGCGAAGGCAGCCCCCUGGGCCAAUACUGACGCUCAUGCACGAAAGCGUGGGGAGCAAACAGG
rnacentral:rRNA from 1 species